ACGCGUGGGUAACCUGCCUCAUACAGGGGGAUAGCAGUUGGAAAACGACUGGUAAAACCGCAUAAGCGCACGGUGUCGCAUGACACAGUGUGAAAACACUCCGGUGGUAUGAGAUGGACCCGCGUCUGAUUAGCUAGUUGGUGAGGUAACGGCCCACCAAGGCGACGAUCAGUAGCCGGCCUGAGAGGGUGAACGGCCACAUUGGGACUGAGACACGGCCCAA
rnacentral:rRNA from 1 species